ensembl:lncRNA
AAUUAAGCCACUUCCCCAAGAUACUGAAUAUAUAAUUCUUAAUCUUUUUCCCCUUGCACCCUAAGCCACAGGUAAAGGAGCCACACAAGCCCCACCCUCUACCCUGGCCAAAAAAGAAGAAAACAAAAAGUUGCAAAUGCAGUCGACAGACAAUUUAUCCAUACGAUAAAAUAUUGGAAAGACGGAUGAAUGGGGGGAAGGCAGCAGAGGUCAAAGUGCACUGGCUACCUUGCUCUUCCUGUGGCAGAGUCUGGGAGGACACCUGGGAGCCGGCCAGCAAAUUCGCCUGAUGACCAAUACUGUUGUACUAUUUGUUUUGUAUAUAUUUGUCAAUAAUUAAAUUCACUAUUGUUACAUUUUAUGAUUUGUCUGUCAAUCAAUGACUGCACUGAAUAAUUAAUGUGUCAUGACUUUGUGCUGUAUUUGGAAAAGUUAAAUAGCUGAAAGUUGCAUGUAGUGACAGUCA